rnacentral:tRNA from 1 species
GCCACGGUCGCAUAACCCGGUAUUGCGCCAGCUUGGAGAGCUGGUUCCUUCGGGAAUUAUGGGUUCGAAUCCCAUCCGUGGCG